GACGAGGUUGUCGAAUGGUUAAGACGAUGGACUGCUAAUUCACUGGGCCCGGCGCGCGUGGGUUCGAAUUCCAUCCCCGUCG